UACGUAGGGUGCGAGCGUUAAUCGGAAUUACUGGGCGUAAAGUGUGCGCAGGCGGCCGCGCAAGUCGAGUGUGAAAUCCCCGAGCUUAACUUGGGAAUUGCGCUCGAAACUACGUGGCUGGAGUGUGGCAGAGGAAGGUGGAAUUCCACGUGUAGCGGUGAAAUGCGUAGAGAUGUGGAGGAACACCGAUGGCGAAGGCGGCCAUCUGGACGACAACUGACGCUGAGGCGCGAAAGCGUGGGGAUCAAACAGG
rnacentral:rRNA from 1 species